rnacentral:lncRNA from 1 species
GCAAGGUUCACGAAGAGAGAAUCCAACAUGGCUGAACAGAGGAGCAACCAUGUUAAAGCUACUCAGAAAAUCAACUAAAACACAGGGUUGAACGCUCAGGAACUAGCUGCAGCAGUGCUCAAACCCACAAAGGACUCCAGAGGACAUCAUGAUGACAUAGGAAUGAUAUCACACCCCCAAAUGACAAAGGUGAAAUAUUACAACCC